GCCAACCAGCCUGAGGAUGUUACUCAGGUGUGGCUCCUCCUCUUGAUGAGUUUCACCUCCUCACCCAGGAAGUGGUUCUCCUGGAAGUCACAGAGAUGAGAGUCUGCGCGGGUAGAACCCAGGGCCUGCAGCUCCAAAGGGCCUGGUUAAGGCUCCUCUCCAAGGCCAGGGCGGCCUCCACAGGGUCCUGAGUUUUGCCCCCUCACCUUGGGAAGGCUUCAGCACGUCCUGGAAGAGAAUGUGGCCACCACACUUGCUUUGUAACUUUAAUAGAUGCUCAGCGCCCUCCAGCUUCUUCUCCACCAACUCAUGGAAGUGGCCCACGCCCUCAAGAGCCACAUCUGGGCUUGUAUUUUGACCUGGUCGAAAUAGAAGCCAGAGAGAGGUAGGUGUGGAGGCCCGCAGAUGCAGGUUGGCCAGGCAAUUGGCCACAGCCUCCACCUCGGUGUAAUAAUUCUGAUGAGUUUGGGAGCUCAUGGUUGUUCGGUAAUAAGGAGUUAAGGUAGAAAAAACAAAACAAACACACAAAAACACGGUCUUGGCUGGUCCCGGGUUUGAU